CGACAAUGGGCGAAAGCCUGACGCAGCAACGCCGCGUGUGGGAUGACGGCCUUCGGGUUGUAAACCACUUUUCGAGGGGAAGAGGAAGGACGGUACCCUCGGAAGAAGUCUCGGCUAACUACGUGCCAGCAGCCGCGGUAAAACGUAGGAGGCAAGCGUUAUCCGGGAUUUACUGGGUGUAAAGCGCGUGCAGGCGGUCAUGCAAGUCGCGUGUGAAAGCGCCCGGCUCAACCGGGCGAGGCCGCGCGAAACUGCGUUGACUGGAGGCCGGUAGAGGCGUGUGGAAUUCCGGGUGUAGCGGUGAAAUGCGUAGAGAUCCGGAGGAACACCAGUGGCGAAGGCGACACGCUGGACCGAGCCUGACGCUCAGACGCGACAGCAUGGGGAGCGAACGGGAUUAGAAACCCCGGUAGUCCAUGCCGUAAACGAUGCGCACUAGGUGUGGCGGGUAACCAUUCCGGCUGUGCCGCAGCUAACGCGAUAAGUGCGCCACCUGGGGACUACGGCCGCAAGGUUA
rnacentral:rRNA from 1 species